rnacentral:lncRNA from 1 species
AUGUUAGUGGCAAGCAUAUUUGGUCAAAAGAACUCAAGGGGGACCACCAGCACCCACUGUGAAGUUGUGCAUGGACAUGACCCAGAGUCACAUGAGAGAGGCAGUCAUGGAGGUACUGCGAUCACCAUCAUUAGAGGGGAUGUCCACAUGGAUGAGAUCACAAAUCCUUUGGAAUAUCAGAGAACCUCACUGAGCAUCAGUUCAAAGGAUACUCCAUCUCCUAAUUCCAGAUAUUUUCCUUGACUGUUCACCACCCCUGGAAUAUUCCCUCCCAAUUUCCACUCCUGGCUUCCUUCGAGUAUGCUACAGAUCCAUCUUAUGGAAGAAGUGUUUCCCGGGUACUUUUAGUCUCAUGUCCUAAACAAGCAAUGGUUGAUCUUAUGCUGAUUCCAAGAGUUUCCAUCCUUGUUUUUUCUUCUUCUUCCCUCCUGCUUGACAGCUAUAUUUGAAGGGCAGGUUGUAAUUAAGUCUAGAGGUCUGUGCUGUAUUUGAUCUGCUGCUCUCCAAGAGUGUCUGGAAGAGGAAGGGAGAGUAAAUUAAAAUGUAGCCAAGUCAGCCUUCCUAAAAUCCGACACUGGAUAAAUCCAGGAUUUCUCCAUUGUGUUUUGAGAGAUUUCGGUCUUGAUAAUUUAUUAGAUGUCAAGAUGAUUCUCAUUUUCUCCCUGGCUUGAAAUGUUUUAGAGAUAAUUGGAAAAGGGGACAUUAGAGCCGAGUGUAAUUCAGUACUUUAACUGGAGCAAAGAAGUCACAGAGCACGAACAGGCUGAGGCCAUGUGUAGGGUGUGUUGGUUAUAGCAAAUGUGGAUGUGGUAUCUCUGACCCUUUGGGCAGUGGCCAAGGGCUGUCCCUUUGGACAAAGGCAGCGAAGGGGGGCCACAUCAGGGGAAGACCUUUUCCACGUUGAUGGGCUGAAGCGAUGUCCUUGGAAAGUCUUGGAGGGCUCCCCUCUCUGCAUGGACUGACCCUCAGCCCCUCUGUGGUCUUGGAUGCCCCAAUUCCAUCCACAGUGCCACCAAUGGCUUCUGUCGACCUGAUCUCCAGCGGAAGACAAGCCAAGACGGCCUCACAAGGACGCUUGAGGGAGUUUUCAUGGAGACCCUCCGCUUCCUGGAGGGAGAGCUGAUCGCUGAGCAAAGGCGCCUGAGCAUGUCCCCAAAAUGGAGGCAAAUGGCUUUCCUAAAGGGAUUCUCUAGCUCUCUGAGGUCAGAAUAAAGCGGAGUUGGGCUAGACCA